GAGUAAGUUACUAAGGGCUUACGGUGGAUGCCUUGGCGCCAAACGCCGAUGAAGGACGUGGGACACUGCGAUAAGCCUCGGGAAGCCGUGUACAGGUGUUGAUCCGGGGAUUUCCGAAUGGGGAAACCCGCCGCUGCGAUCCAGCGGCAUCCCGACCUGAACACAUAGGGUCGGUGAAGG
rnacentral:rRNA from 1 species